AGUAAAGUUAUGUUGAUAACUUAAGAGGCUUUCCUCUGUAACUUUCGAAAGUGGAAUUCAAUCCUACUAUCUGAAGGAAACUAUAUAUAUUUAAUAUUUAAAAGAAGUUCAUUUAAAAAUCAGAGUAAUAUUUGCAGUUUAUAAGGUUAGGGCUGUUGGCAUGUUUAGCAUAUAUAUUUUUUUAAAACAGAUAUUAAAAUAUUUGGGGAAAAUAACAAAAUUUCUAAACAUGUUGGACUCUUGGGGCGCCUGGCUGGCUCAGUCAGUAGAGCAUGCAACUCUUGAUCUUGGGGUUGUGAGCUCAAGCCCCACGUUGGGUAUAGAGAUUACUUAAAAAUAAAAUCUUUAAAUAAAUAAGUAUGUCAAACUCUUGACACAAUGAUGUUUCUCAAACUGCACUGAUUGUAAAGAAAAGGAAGUCAGAGGCUGGGUAAAUUGAUGUGUCUUUAUUGAGAGAAAGUUUAUUCAUCUGAUCCAAAUUUAAACCAUUCGAAAAAUUUUUACAUUUCCAUUACUAUAAAAAUAACAACAAUAAUAAUAAUAGUAAUAAUAAUAAUAAAUAUAUAGCAAUAGUUACAGCAUAGAGAAUUUUAAUUUGUGGGGUGAAUAUUGACUUGAAUAUUACAGGUUUAGGCAUAAAUCUGAUGUACUGCAGUAGACAGAAUCAUGGCCCCACAAAGAUGCCCACGCCCUGAUCCCUGGAUGUGAAUAUUAGGUUAACGUGAAGAUGGAGAAAGGGGCAUGAGUCAGGGAAUGCUUGCAGCCUCUCAAAACUGAAAAAGGCAAGCAAAUGGGAUUCUUUUAGAACCUCUGGGGAGGAACACAGACCUGCAAACCUCAAUUUUAGCUUAGAGACGCAUUGAUUUUGGAGUCCUUUGUUACAGGCAACAAUAGAAAAUGAAUACAUGUACUAUACAAAAUAGGGAAGUCAAUGAAAUUAUUUGAGAUUAAGUUAUUUUACUCAAUUGACAAGGCAUUUUUAUUAUAUGAGUUUUUAAAAAUGUUAAUUGGAUCCAACAAGGCGGAUUUUUGUUUUUACUGGAUAAAGAAAAUAUUCAUUCUCUUGCUUGAUUGUGUUAUAUAAGUGGUUAUCUGUUUGAUUUGGCAUUUUGAAAAUCUAUCUUUAAUUUUAGCACUACUACUAAAAGAGGAAUUUCUGUAUGUAGGUUGGUUAUAUAGGACUAGAAAAGACAUUGUCUAAGUCAGAGUUUCACUGAUUUGGGUUUUUUAUAAAUUUCAAUAUAUAUAUGUGUGUAUAUAUAUGUCUAUAUAUGUAUAUAUAUGUGUAUAUAUGUGUAUAUAUGUGUGUGUGUGUAUAUAUAUAUAUAUGUGUGUGUGUGUGUGUGUGUGUGUAUGUAUAUAUUUAACGAUGGCCAAUAUUUUUAAUGUGACCUGUAGGAUUGUAGCAUCCCAAAAUAUCUUCAACAUCAUUAAUGAAAAAUUGAAUUUUCUUAAAUAUAUAUAGUUUUAGUGUUAACUGUCUUUUAGGACUUCGAAAUAUGUACUUAGAAAUCUGCUCGGAUAUAUAGGGUACAUAGGAUGAACUGUCUUAUUUCUAGAAAACUUUUUAACCCGGUUCUUCCAUUACCUGCUCUGUUAUGUAACUUAACAGUUUAUUUCUUCAUAAACAAGUACAUCGAUCUCUGGAGGUAGGGUUAUAUGAGCCAGUAUUUCCACAUGAAUUAUUAUGAAAAAAUUUUAAUUCUCAAAUAAAUUAAUAAGCAAGUAAAUAAUGAGUGAAACGCUUUUAAUAUACACUUCCGUUUGCAUGACUGCACAACUAAGUAGAGGAAGAAUGUUAAAAACAAAUUUAGCAUGAUUGUCAUGCAACUAGUUUCCUGGAGCAUAUUAGGAUGUAUUAAUUUGGCCAAAAAGAAAGUAAGAAUCAGGAAGAAAUUUAGUUAUAUUCAAUAUGUGAGUAUACAGUUUUGUAUACUCUAAUGCCAGAAUAUAGCAAGAAAGUUGAAAGGAGAAUGGGAAGAGCACGCUGUCUUUAUUUCAUGUUUUAAUUUUACAGAUUAGCUAAAACAUACUUUGAUGGCUUCCCAAUGCAUUUCUUUCUCUGUAGGUAUUUAUUUUGAGGUGUAUCACAGUGGUUCUAGGACUCAUUUGUUUCUAUAAAAGGAUAGAAUAUAGAUCUCAUCUGUAAGAGUCUGGGUAGCAUAAAUCCUUCUAUGUUAAUAUCUUAAGUUGAAACUCAUAUCUUUAAAUUAUAUUUGCUGCUUCAAAGGUAGACCUUCCAAAGCUGAUCUAGUUAUUUUUUCUUUUCUAAUAUAAUCCAAUGACAGCUCAUUGUUCUAUCGGUUUAAGGAAACCUGAAAUGGCUCUUGUUGCCUGCAUAAUAUACAAAAAACUACCCAUAAAAGCCAGAUUUCUUUCUGUCUGAAUUAUUAGUCCUGUGUUUGUGGGGCACCUGGGUGGCUCAGUCGGUUUAAGCGUCCGAAUUCGGCUCAGGUCAUGAUCUCAUGGCUCUUGAGUCCAAGUCCCGCAUCGGGCUCUGUGCUGACAGCUCAGAGCCUGGAGCCUGCUUCGGAUUCUGUGUCUCCAUCUGUCUCUGCCCCUCCCCUGCUCAUGCUCUGUCUCUCUCUGUCUCAAAAAUAAAUAAAAACAUUAAAAAAAAAGUUUAAAUUAUAUUUGCUGCUUCAAAGGUAGGCCUUCCAAAGCUGAUCUAGUUAUUUUUCUUUUCUAAUAUAAUUCAAUGACAGCUCAUUGCUCUAGCAGUUUAAGGAAACCUGAAAUGGCUCUUGCUGCCUUCAUAAUAUACAAAAAUCUACCCAUAAAAGGCAGAUUUCUUUCUGUCUGAAUUUUUAGUCAUGUGUUUGUGGUUUGCACACGUUUUUCAUUUCCUCAGCUAAGUUAAUAUCCAAGGAGUUUCAGGCAUAAAGGGAAGAACAAGUAAAAGCUUUGGGUUGGGGCACCUGGGAGGCUUAGUCAGUUAAGCAUCUGACUCUUGAUUUCAGCUCAGGUCAUGAUCUCAUGGUCAUGAGCUGGAGCCCCUCGUCAGAGUCAGGCUCAUGCUGGGUGUGGAGCCUGCUUGAGAUUCUCUCUCUCUCUCUCUCUCUCUCUCUCUCUCUCUCACUCUCACUCUCACUCUCUCCCUCCAUCUGCCCCUCCCAUAUUCAUGUGAGCACACUCUCUCUCUUUCAAAAAAAAAAUAAUAAAAGCUUUGGUUUGAACUUUCCUAAUAAGUCACAUUAAUCAUAUAAAACUCAUUGCUUCUCAUUUUGAUCCAGAAAUAAUAAUGACAGUUAGUCAUAGUGGGUGAUAACAAUUAUCGAAAUGAAUUAUAUUUUGGAUUUUCAUUUGCCAGCCACUGCACUAAUCCUGUGCAUGGAUUCUCUCCACUGAAGCAUAGGUACUGUCAUUACCCCCAUUUAUAGGCAAGGCUUAGACAACAGGCACACACAGAGCUUGCUUGAGUCACACAGCCAGUACAUGGAGAAACUAGUGUUCAAACCCGGGGACUGACUCCAGCUCCUGCCCUCUUGACCACUGUGAACCACAGCAUUGGUUGAGGUAGAGAACAGAAAUUUUUAGUCACGUGGACAAUUUGGGUAGAUGAAGGCUUAUAUUUAGGAAGGAGUGGUCAGGUGGAGAAGAUAGGAGCAAACCUUUUUUUUCAUACUAUGGACUGGUUGCUAUUUAUUACGCACCUACUAUGUGCCAGGAAUUGAAUGCAGAGCUAAUUUUCAUAGGCUAAUUUCUGUCAGGUAGUAUAUGCUUUAUAUGUUUCAGGAAAUGUCACACCACAGUACCGUAAUGGACAAAGGUGCUUUCCUAUAGGUAGAAAAAUGUAGUUCUCUACAGUCCUGCCAGUUGGAUCUUGACAGGAUUUCAGAGGUAGGGGAACAAGGUCUGUGGCCCCCCACUACCUUUCCUCAUUUACAUGGUCAGAGAUUUCUGUCAUUGGAUAGAUUUCCAUCCAUGAGCAGGAUGCUCAACAAAGCUGGCUCAUAAGUCCCGUAGGGCUUUUAGCUUAACUACAGAAAUUUAAAAAAAAAUUUAAUGUUUAUUUUUGAGAGAGAGAGACAGAGAGACAGAGUGUGAGUGGGGGAGGGGAAGGGGGAGGGACAGAGAGAGGGAGACACAGAAUCACAGGCAAGUCUCCAGGCUCUGAGCUGUCAGCAUAGAGCCCAACGACAUGGGGCUGAACCUUACAGGCUGUGAGAUCAUGACCUGAGCUGAACUCCAGUGCUCAGGUGCUCAACCGACUGAGCCACCCAGGCACCCCAGGGCUUUUAGCAUAGAUGUCCAUCCUGUUCAUAAGUCAUACUCUUUCAUAGACUUUAGUAAGGUGAAGUUAGGAAGUAUGGUUUUCCUUUCUCCCUCUACGAUGUCAUCUCUGAAGCCAGAGUGCAUGACUUUUCAGUAAGCUUUAGCCUUGGUAGAAAUGAUUACACUGCUCUCGUGACAAGGCUUCACACUCACAUCUUAACAGUCCUCUGGCUCUAUUUUUCCCAUGAGAAUCUGAGGUGCAGACCUAAAUUCUUUAUAGGAUUCUAGGUGUUCUCCUACACACAGCUUUAAUAUGAACAUUUUAGUAAUGGCUUCUUAAUUCAUAAUAUAUAUUGCAUUCUCUAAAACUGACAUCCCCCAAUAUUAUAGUGUAUAGUCAUCAGAAUAUAUGAUCUUUACCUUCAAAUACCACUACUAUGCAUACUCUAGCUUACUCUAACUCCCCUUGAUGAACAGGUCUAAAUCAGAAUUUUCCUUAAUUUAUUGUAUCUCCUAUAUAGUUUCCUUUUCUAUUCUUGUGUCCAUUAAGGAUAAUUCCCCUUUCUUGCCUCCCAAGGGCAUUCUCUGCUGCCCUAAUCUGUCAAUUUCUGGGGAAAAUAACAGUUUAUAGCCGUAAAUGAAAUCUUGGAGAGCGAGUAGCUGUUCUUUAUAGCAGUCAUGCAGUUUAUUUGCAUAAACUGUAUAUACUUGUCUCAUUAUAUAUGUACAGUCUAAAGGAGAGAAUUAAUGCUUCUAUCUUUAGAGGCAUCACGGUCCCCGUUUAAAUGAUGUAGGUGAAAUAUUUCUUCCUUAAGAAAGAGCAGAGAGGAGUGGCAGCUAUGGGAUAUCCAAAUAUUCAGCCUAACAAGAAAGUCAAAGCUAACAAAGGCGUAGUAUAACAAGACAAAGAAGAAAUUAACAUAAAGCAUUUUAUCUUUGAAGGUUGCACAAAACUCCUCCCCAAACCAAAUAAAUCCAUAACAAAGAUGUAACUAACACUGGAAGAUAAAUACAGUUCUCUCCGAAAGGCCUCCUACAGCUGUCUUCAUCUCUUUCUUCCACCUUAAUCAAGAUGAGAGAUGGCAUCCUUUCAGUGCCAGAUUUUUUAAGUGGAGAAGUCUUGGGGCACACUUUGAGUCUCUUUCCAAAAGUAGAGCUUGCACUUUGGUUUUAAUAUGAAGAAAUUAAUGAAAUAGAGCCGGAGAGAAUGUGCUGGAGAGUCGAUUUUUCCAAGCAACAGUCUGGGACUUUAUCUGUGUUGCAAAUAAAUAUUUAAAACUCACUGGGCCAGCUCUGCUGGUGAGGAGGUAAGAAAGAAAUUGCUUUAUGAAAGAAUGUAAGCACCUUGGGAAUCCCUAUACCUCCUACACGUGGGGGCAGCUUCAGACUAGUGGGCACACCUUGGCUCAUGAGAAAACUGACAGUGGACAGCCUGACCUGCAGCAGCCUCAUGUUGGCAAACUGUAACCAGACAACUUCUAGUGUAUUUACCACUGCCCUGGGUUACUGAGAUAAUUCAGGUGGAGUUGACAUUGUCUGAGAAAGACAUUGACUAGUUCAAGACUUAAAAAGGUAUUAUCUUUCCUGCCAUUCAUCUAUACAUUGCUGAGGCCAGAGUUACUCUUACCAUGGAGUGGAAUUUCGGCUUGGAAUCUUAUAGAUUACUCAGCUCCAUUGUAUUAUAGUAGCACCAUCCGCCUUACUGUACAGUUCAACCUUUAGGGUCAGGGAUGCAAUUAAUAAAAUUCUACCAUAUAGCACAGAGAGGUCACUGUAGGGCCAUUAGGGAGGAAAAAGAAAUAUUUGUACUUCGAUCUGUAAAGAUUAAAUUUUUAAGAUAGUCAUGGAAACUAGCAAAAGUACGGAAGUAAUGAUCAAAUAAAUUGUGAAAUAAAUAGAAUAUCUUCCUCUGUAUGGAUUAAAAAGUAAAAUGAUACAGUAAGAUUCAGUACAACCAUAUAGAAAAAAAAUCACAGUUAAUUUCUCCUUUAAAAAAUAUAUGUGAAAAAAGAUAAAGUAGUAAAUUUUUUUUCCAAAACCAAAUAAUAUACAUUCAGCUUAAAAAAAAAAAAACUAGAAGGAUACAAUGAUAAAUUCAACUCUAGUGGGAGUUAAAAUCAUGGAGUUAAAAUCUCAGGCAGGAGUAUACAGGACUUCCCAGGGCCAACUCAAUAACAGAUAACCCACAGGAAUAUUGAUUAAUGUUGAUUAAUGGUCUUAUUCUUCCAGUUUGAGAGCUUAGAGGAACGUAGAGUUUGGGUCAGAGGUGAGGCUCUGUCUGAGUUCUGGACCCAAGCAGAGAUACUACCAAAAUAAGGCUUCCCUGGGUUUAUUGAGUGUGUUGCAUGCUCAUUCUUCUGGAAAACCUUCCAGUGUCCUCAAAACAAGUAUCAUCUGAAGCUCCUCUCACACCCAGACACAUCUGUUUUGGUCAUGAAUUCUACUUUACUUAAAAUCAAACACAAGCAAACCUUGUCAAGUACAACGAAUUUUUGUAACAAAUUGUUCUAUCAAUCAUGCCUGGAAUAUUGACAUUUGUAUUUUAGAGUGUGCUGCAGCCUUUGUUUCUGUAUAGCCCUUUACACCCCUGUGUCUUUGAACCUACCUCUGACUAUGAAAUUAUUUUAAGUGUAUUUUAUAGUUGAAGCCAAUAGAUUUGAAGGUAUCCAUUGUUGAUAGUUUAGUCUUCCUGCCUUGCGUCUUCAUUAUCAUGACAAGCUAGUGGCAUUUUCUAAGGAAGACUCUAUGCUUUAACAAUAUCUAUUAUCAAGUAGAAUUCUAUAUCUUCUUUUGAAUUUAAACAGAAAGGUUUUUUUUUCCUGGAAAUGUUGAUAUUCAAACUUUAAGUUUUCCCUUAGAUUUAUUCUUAUGUUUCAAAAAAUAUAACCUGGCUUUCCUGCCUUUAAAAGUCUGGAAGAUGGCAGAAAGUAUUUGAAAGGGUUUAAGACGCUCUGUAUAAACCUGAGGAACACAUAAGUUUCCUCCCCAUACAACUUCCUCACUUCCUGCCCAGUCCAUCCCCCACUAGCCCCUCAAUACAGUCAUGCACACAAGCACACACACUCGGUGUAAGAAUCUGCAUACUGGCAGGACUACUCCAUAUUCUUCAUAUAUUCUGGUCUCAAGUGAAACAAAGAUUGGGGGAAUUAUAUUUUCCAGAAUGAGAAUGUCACCUCUUAGAUCUUUAAGAAGAUAAAUAACUCAGAUAAAUAACAUUGCAUCAGAUUGCCAAAAUUUGUUUUCACUCUGUAUACUUGAAUCACCUGAAUGCAAAUUGAUUAUUUGGGAGCUCCUGCUUGAUUCCAGUAUUCCUAUAUAUUACUUCCAUAAGCAUAUGUAAAAAAAGUAUUAGCAGAGCCUACAAAAGCCUGUGUCAACUUCAUUCUGGAGAUUUUUUAACAGCAACUCUUAGCUUCUACUCCGCUUUGUACUCAUGGCAUUGUUUUUCUCUUCCUGAUUUCUCCCCACCCUGAGGACAGGUCUAGUGAGUUGAAGACAGAAAGGCAGCCACUCCAUUGGACAACAUGCAGUUCACUGGUAAUUUUGAUAGGGCUAGUUGGGUAGAGGAGUGAAUUUGGAAACUGAGUGAAAGUGGGUUCAGUAGUGAGUGGGACAUGAGGUUGUGCACUACUCAUUGGAAAAUUUUGUCAAGAAGAGAAAAAGGAUGGUAGGUAGCAGCAAAUGUCAAUUCAAGGUAGGGAUGAAAGUAUAUAAGGCUAGCAGAUCCUUCAACAUUUGUAUUCUGAGAAUGGUCUUAUUGAGUCAGGGGAGUGUUAAAUUCAGCAUAAGGGUUUUUAAAGAAAUCUUUGGGAAGAAUUUGCCUUUGGUAGGAGGGAGGAAUUCCUCGGUAAGGAAGGGAGAAGAAGACAAUCUGGCAGAUGGAAGGACCUUUAUUGAUUUGGUGGUGGGAAGAUGAAGGAAUUCGAAUCUGGUGGUUUCUAGUUUUUCAAUGAAGUGUGAGAUCGAGUUAAAUGAUAUAAGGCAGGGAGGGAAACUUACUUAGGUUUGGGAGAAAGAAGGCAGUAGUAAAUUGUCUUGGGGUCUGGGAAGCAAGUUUAUUAGGGAAUGUUGUGUGGUUGCCAGCAGUUGGACAUUUGAGGUCUGAAGUUAAAUAUUUAAAGUAAAAUUAGUCUGUCUGUUGAAUGAUUUUCUCCAGCUGUAUUCAUGCACAGCUGCUCAGGUCCAGAGAAGGCAAGUAAUUGAGCUGAUCUGUGCUUGGGUUUUGCCAGGAGUGAGAGGGAAGCAAGGCAGAUGAGAUUGUUUGUAAUGAUUAUAAUGAUGGACCUUGGACUCAAAUUUAGACAGAUUCAUCAGAAAGAUUUUAAAAUCUCAGUCAUGCAAGUAUACUUCCAUAUUAAGAACUCAGGCUUAAAAUCCGACCAUCUGGGUUCAAAUUCCAUUUCUACUACUUACCAUGAGACCUUGAGCAAGUUCUCUAAAUGCUCUCUGCCCUAGUUCCUUCAUUUGUAAAUGGAGAUACUAUUGGCACCUAAUUCAUAGAAUUUUUAUUGAGUUAACACAAAGAAAGAGUUCGGAAGAGCACCUGGAACAGGCUGGACACUCAAAUAAUAGGCUAUUAUUGUAAUUAAUGUCAUGCAUCCCGACCUAGUGUGUCAUCUUUGACUAUGCACAGCCAAGAAGAACUAUUUCUCUUUCUGUGAUUAUCUGAACAAUAUGGGUUGUGCUUUUUCUUACAUUUGUAUUUUUAAUUAACUGACUCACCUUUAAUUUUUUUCUCUUGUAUGUCUUUAAAAUUGCAAUUUAAACGAAAUGACACAUGGCAAAACUCACAAAAUCCAGUUUCAAGCAUAAAAUUGAAUAGAUAAGUAACACAUAAAGGUGUUUGGCUAAGCGUCAGUUUUGGGGUAAGCAGGAUGCCUUCUCGUCAUCUUUUAAGGUUUUAUGGAAGAAAUGAGGCCACUCUAAUUAGGACAAAUGGGUUUUAAAAAGUGUCUUCCCCAGAUUAGUCUAUUGCCCGGAAAUCAGUAUCUUAUCAGUCUAUCAAAAUUACAUGUGUUUUGCCGUUAGUUCAUUGUCUCCCAUAUCGGACCAUGUCGUUUCACAGCAUUUUUGUGUUCUUUUCAUUGGUGUACAAUCUCAUUUGUGUUUUACUUUCUGUGGCUCAUCGGAACACGUUAUGAAUAAUAAUGGGUAUAAACAUAUAUCACUUAUUAACCUUACUGGUUUACUGUCUCCUCAAAGUCCAUAAAAUACAGAGAGCACAUGUUAUCGUAGCUGUGACACUUUCAGAGGGAAGGGGUGGGUACUCUUUUAAAAAGUCUACAGGAUAGCAAGUACAAACUAGAACUGACCAGGGCAUUAAAGGAUGAUUUUAAAAACCAGGUAAUGGAGAUCUAAUACACAGCACGGUGAUUACAGACAAUAUUAUUGCUUUAAUAUUCAAGUUUUAAACUUCAAAGUUUCUAGGAAACUGGAUUUUAAAUAUUGUCACCACACAAAAGAAAUGAGAAAUGAUAAUUAUGGAUAGAGGUGUUAGCUAACACAACUGUGGUAAUCCUACUGCAGUGUAUACGUGUAUCAGACCAACAUGUUGUACACCUGAAACUUAUACAGUGUUAUAUCACAGUUAAAAAAAAGAAAAACAACAAUUUAAAUAAAUAAAUAAUGGGUAAAAUCUUGACUCUCAUACAAAUAUGAAAAGAGCAUGUGUCAAAGAUUUCACUUAUCUCACUAAUAAGGGAAUGGGGAGAAGUUAUAACAGGUUCCAAGGGGAAUACUAAGAACUGCAUCCUUAGUCAAACAAGGGAUGCUAAAAUGAGUGUACCAAUAGGUGCGAAGCUGACAAACUGGUCAAUAUCCACAGGACAAUAAUCAGUUGCAUCCCAGUGGACACAAUUUGCAUUUCUAUGGACAAGAGCAUUUGCACUGCUAUCAUUUUCUUCAGUUUGCAGAGUUUAAAAUAGUUCAGGGACAAUUUAAGCUUCAUAGGACACCCACUGAUUUUUUGGCCCCAUCAGAGGCCUUCCCAGUUUUUCCCCACACGAGCAAUCCUGGCAUGGCUCGGCACCCAGGUGACACGUCACACAUUCUCUAGCACGUGCUUCAUGUGAUUUUGGACUUACCUGUUCACUGCUGCUUUGUUAGAUUUGUUUACAGUUUAUCAAGCUGUACGAUGUUAGGUUCUACUCCUCUUUCAGAUUUGAAGUUGGCCAGAAUCGAAACUGUUGUUGUUUUGGAGGCAAAAUAUGCUACUUUCAUUCUGUUUUGGUUGCCUACUCUGGGAGGACUUGGAAGCAUUUGGGCCGGAUAAGCUGAGUGAUCUGCAGCUGUUCAAAUACUUAGAGCCUUUGGGUUGAUUGUGGAUUUUGCUUUAAAACCCUACCCCACUGAAAAAAAAAAAAAAAAAGAAAGAAAAAGAAAA